CCAGUGUGAUGCCUACUGUUCAUUCAAGCCUGGAAACAUCGAAACAGCUUCAUGGGACACAAAGGCUGCGAAGCAGAAGGACAAAGACGAUGCAGAUGAGAAGACCUUGUUGGCGCUCACUCCAAUUCCAGGCCAUACCGUGUGAGAUACAACGUGGAUGGCACCACUCAGAUGACUGGGAAGCCUAUCUGUCCCCAUCUCUUAAAAUAAGAGUAUCACCACAGCAGCCCCACUGUGCGCAUCCAGCUAGCCAGUUAAAGAGCUGAAGUUCAAACAGCCCCAAGAACUGAAGGUUUUGCCCAAGAACUUCCACUCACCCUACGAUGGACUGGACCACGAGUGAUGCCCGUCACCAGCUGGAGCCUCACGCAGACGCACACACACACACUGAUGUACUUAGGCUAUAUUGGUUACAGUUGUUCAUUAAAAUCAGUGUAAUUAUAUUUUUGCAUUAUUUUUUAAAUACCUUUACUGGUUUUAAUGGUUUUAACAUAAUUCCUAAUUGUUCAAAGUAUUAAGUCAAAUAUCUAGUAGUAGUCAAGACUCCAAUCAAUUGUCUCUCACAAAUAGUCUGACAGAUUCUUUAUCCUGGUUGUUCAUAAUAAUAAUUUUGAAUGUUGUGUGGUUUACACAGUAAAAUAAAUUUCAACCUUUACUGAUUAAA